AAAAUCCUCCAUAAAUUAUAAAAUUACUCUAACAACUCACAUACACUGUAAAAAAUCACUUAAUGACCUUUUCUAAUGUAUCGCAUGAUGUAUUUCUACCAAUGUUCAAAUGUUAUUAAGCAAAAAAAAAAGUUGCAUAGUUAACUACAUAUGGAAAGAAUAUGUAUUCCUACCAAUGUUCAAAUGUUACUAGGUAAGAAAUUUAUCUAUUUAUUUUUGUUUUGACUAAAUCUUUUUUCUUUUUUUUGAACGUUUGACUAAAUCUUAUAAAAAAGUAAUGAACAUUACAUUCCUUCUUUAUCUUUGACCAUGACAACUAUUUUGAACGGUUGUAUUAGUAUAUAUGUAAUCAGUCUAAGACUCUAAGUAAUAUACUCAACAAAACGAUUAAGAAGAACAUCAUAAAAAUGGCUAUAACCGUAAAAACUUUAGUCUCAUUUGUUUUAACUAUCUUUUUAUUCAUAUCUUUUAUUGACUGUCGUACAUUAACCGCUGAAACUCUUUCAACUACUUUAAAUUCUCCAGGAUUUGGAAUAGAAGAUGUGUGCUUUGGAGGAUUUUGGCCGUGUAAGGAUGACAUUCUCUUUGGUUGCGUUAGAUAUUGCAAUAAAUAUAAUUACAAAUUUGGACGAUGUACUGACAUCCAAGGAUGUUGUUGUUAUUGAAAAAAAGCGUAUAAGAUGAAAUAAUAUAAUAAAAUGUGUUGUUUGAAAUA